AAAAAAAAAAAAAAAAAAACCCUUCCUACAAUAUGACAGGAACUUGAAGGCACCUCCCAAACAAUUUUCUCAAUGAUCAAUUCUUUUUGUCUUAGCCGAGUAUAAGGGCACACUUACUGGGACUCCUAAAGAGAAGAAAAAAAAUUUCCCAAGGCAGAACAAAAAUGUGAAUCUAAUGGUACCAUUUUGCACUAGAAAAUCCUUCUGCACAUGCUGAAUCCUAAAACACCAACCGACAAAAUAAGAGCAAUUUUUGUGAUUUCAAAAUCAGCGAUCGUGCUUCUCCUAUUCGUUCUUACUUGCUGAGAUCUCUGUCCUAAGCUCUCGCGAAGUAGAUUGCUUAAAGUAUCUAACUGGUGCUUGACUUGCCGUUGUCCCCGAGCAAGGCCAGAUAUCUCUUCCAUUAAUGGUGACUCCUUAGCCAACUGAGAGGAAGAUGAGGAAUUAGACAUUUUGGAUCCAGUCAAGGAACCAUUGCUUAAACCAGAAAGGAAGUAAGACGUGGAAGCAGAGCCAUUACAUGCUUCAGCUUGGAGACCCAAGUUUUGUUGGCUGGAAGAACUUCUAUUGAUGUUUAAUUUGGAGUUUAGCUCUUCAAUACGGGCUGCAAACUCAUCCAUUCUAUCAUUUAGAGAGGAUAUCUGUUCUGAAAGUUGAGUGAGGAUUCCCUGAUUUGUUAGCACUGUCAUUGACUCUGUGUUUCUCUCAGUAUGCAUUUGGUUAUUUGCAGCAAGUCCAGUAAGCUUGGACAAGUUCCUGUCACUUUGGCUUGAAUAUGAAUGUGACAUACCACUUUUGAGAUUCUUGUUUCUUAUUGCAACCCUAUCAGCAGAGGCUCGGAGAAGUGCUUCUUUGGGGCUGAAGACCAAAUCCUUAUCUAGGCUGAGUUUUGUCUUCAAAUCAUCUGGUAAAGCCAUAACUUCAUCUACAAGCUUUUCCAGUUGAAUCUGUUCUAUGUAGGUACGUGGAACAUAAAAGCCUUCCAAACCUAGCCGCUCUGCAACACAUCUCACAACCAAGCGAUCUUUUCCUUGAACCUGAACAUAUUGACGAUUUAGUUGUUCUAGCCAAUCAAUUGUCACACACACACUAUCAUUAAAGAAUACAUGGCUGCUUCUUUUAAGGAUGGUUGCUAUUGUGUAUCCCAAGGCCAUUAGCCCACCAAGAAGCCGCACACUCACUUCAAAACUGAUCCUUGGUGAUAUAACAAAUGGAGCAUCUGUUACCCAUUCCUCAAACAUAAGAUUGUAUUUUCCAUCUUUAUUCCUCAUUCUCAGAUAUGACUGGCAGGAUUCAGGAUCUUCACCAGGUGGUAGAAGAUAUAUAUCAUAGGUCUGCUCUGUUGUCUCUGUAUGUUCUUCAGAGAGAACAGCCUUGAUCUGAUCCACCACUACCUUCUUUGCUGACUUUAAUACAUAAGUAGGACUCUGGAAUCCAGAGAAAGGGUUGAAUUUGUUUAUGAUUUUUAUAUGUGCCGUGUGGAGAUCUGGCUCAAUAAAAGCUUUGUACAUUGGAUAUACCUGCAAUAAAAGUUGAGCUGAGUAUUUGAAAAGCAGCAUUGUGCAUAAAUGGUUUUAAAACAUAUUUAAAAAAAAGCAAACCGUUUCAGAUAUCUGCUGGAUAAUUUCCUCUGGUGCUUGGCCAGCACGUUGGAUGUCUCGUAGAACCCGUUUUACAAGGUCAAAAUGAACUCCCCCAGUCACCGAUACUCGAAGGUCGAGCAUAGGUCGCAGCUUUUCGCUCAAGGCAUAGAUUCCCUCAAUAAUCACUAUGCGAGAAGGUGGCACUUCAACCGUCCUGUAUCCAAUGCGGGAGCUAGACUUGAAAUCAUAGAUUGGAAUCUCAGCUGAUUUUCCUGCCUUUAAAUCAUGGACAUUCUUGAGAAGUGUGUCAUAAUCUGUCAAGCGUGGAUCUCAUAUUUCUGUAGGUCAACUCUUCCUAAUUCCUUCCCAAAGCCCUAUGCUCCAGCAACAUCAACAACCAGCAAGCCAAACCUUGUUUCACUCUCAUAACACCAAGACUAGAGAACCACUCUAUUUAACGGUUAAUUCUCUCCGUUUCCCAGAGUACUGCUUUCCCAAGCAACCAUUAUCUCCACAAACGCUGCUCAAAUCCCACACAGUGCCCUCUCACAUCCAUAUAUUCACAUAUUUAAAAAAGAUUUCUAGAGAGUGAAAUGGCACUGAGGAAUAUGAUAUAUUAUGGCAGUUGAGAAUAAAUUUGAGAAAACAAUUUAAGCUUUAUUGACUAGCAAAGCAUUUAAGGCACUGAUUAUUACCGCUAAAGAACAAAAAUAUCUAAAAUUCCAUAAUAACAUGUUCAUAUAUAAACCAAAAUAUCCAUAGAUCCAAUCUCUAUUCUAUAGUGCAGAUGUUACCUAAUAUAUUAUGCCCAAAACUUACAUUCUCAAACUAAAACCAGUUAUCAACUAAUUCAAAUCAGGAUUUGUGGACAAAGAAAUCAAAGACAACUGUAAGUUCAUGCUAUCAGAUAGCAAACCAGCAAAAGCAGAGGUAAGAAAAGGUAGAUUUCUGAAUUCCAAACCCCCUUAAUCUCCAUUAAAUUGGUCAUUUUUACAAUAAUAAAAAAAAGAUACCAAAAACUUACCUGUUAAAUAGUUAAAGCACAACGGAAAUUUAUACUCUAAGCUAUUGAAUAUGAUAGAAGAAAGAACAGAGUUGAUGCAAACACUAAGACUUGGACACAUUCUAGACAGGAUAUCUGGAGUCAAUAGAAUAGAUUCUACAUGGUUACAGACAGUCUUACAUCAUUGACUGGUAUAAAUUCAUGCCAGGGAAAAAUAGCACUUUAGCGCAUGAAUUAUUUUAUCCUCUAAGCUAUAUAAUUUCUAUAAUAACAAGAAUAUUAUCAUAGUAUGGUAAAAAAUGUGACAAAAUAGAUCUUUCCAGCGAAUUUAUCAAAAGAUAAUAAAUAAAUAUCUUGCAAAAGCUGUCUAAAAAAAUGACGAAGCGACAUCUUUGACAUUAUAUUUAAUUAAAACUGUUCAAAAGAAUACAAGGUUUCAAAAGGAAAGCUUAAAUGAGUUGAAAGAUAAAUCACCAUCAAAAUUGCCGUCAACAAUUCGGCUAGAAUCAUUGUAGUUGUCCAUUGAAAUGACGGCAACAUUGGGCAUGAAGUUUUGUACCUUCUCUGUGAAAACAGUCUUCCCAGCCCCUGAAGGACCUGCUAAGCCUACCAGUAUUAUUCCAUCAUUGUUUUGGGCUAACAAUUGGCAUGCACGGAUAAACAAAAAGAACCCUUUCUCAAAUGUAUAAGCCUGUUGAAUUGGAGCAAUCUCAUAGCGAUCACAGUCCUUUCUCUUAACCAAUCUGACUUGGUCUUUCAAGAGGCCAUGCCUUUUCUGGUGUAAUUCAGCAUUAGAAUUAUCUUGGGCCAUCUUAAAAGGUAUGCUAACUCCCUCGAAUCACAGUGAGUUCAGUUUAUUUUAAUGGCAAUGAGACAGAGCUAAGUGGUAGCAAAAUACCAAUAAUGCAGAAAGAACUACAAGGCCACUCGUAUAAAAGGUCGGUUUAUCGAUAGAACGGAAGAUAUUUUCUUUCCUGAAUAUAGAAGUAUCUGAUUUUUCCCGGAUUUUUUUAUUAAGCGAGUUUGUUUUUCAGAGAAUCUGCAAUUACACUCGAGAAAGGCCCAGAAGCAGAGACCGAGGCCAGGGGAAGGAUAGAAAGGAGAAAAAAAAGAGAGGUGCUUAUAUAGGGCUCCAAUUUUUAUUUUAAAUAAUAAAUUUAAUAAUAUAUUUUCUAGUUUCCUCCAUAAUCACAGUCAGUAUCGAACCAGGAGCCCUCUACUCUUUACCAAAACCCACAAUUGCUUCAGACUUAGUUCACGCCUUCAAAGAUCGACUUAGCUUGGC
rnacentral:misc_RNA from 1 species